AAGAAAUAAAAAAUUCGACAGCCGCAACACACGCCACUAAAGCCACCACCGCCGGCAUAACGUCGGCACCAACAGUUGGCAACGUUGGUUCACCGCUACACCACCGCUUCGUCUCCGCAACAAGAGCCGACAUCUUCUCGCGCUUACGUUUUGUAGGGUUUUGUUAUCUGCAAGUCCGCGCACGCAACUCAUCGGUGGAUGCACGAUUGCACGGCGUCGCAGUGCAGCCAGCGUCAUUUUCUCGUGUUCGCAUAAUCGGUGUGAGACAUGUCGCAUGUGAAAUGUUUGAUAGAAAUGCCUCCCAUCCAAGUGAAGCGGCCGUACGGGGUUCGGAAGCGUCGACGGGUUUCCGGCAUGCGGAUUUCAGAGUUCGGACUCGACUUUUGGUGAGGAUGUCAAUCGACCUUGGGCCUGGUGACAGCACACCGGACAUGGCCAAAGUGCAGCCUGUCAGUUGAGUGCCCCCGAAUGGACCAUCAACAUCGGAAAAUGAAGCAGAACAAGGGAGAAAAAGUUCCAGUAACGCCAUGCAUUCAGUAUGGCGGCUCAGACGUGUAUGCAAGCAACCUCCUUCAUGUGGACCAAGAACUACUCUUCAGUGUCUCGCAGACUUCCAUGCGAAGCCCUCAACAUUCUCGUCUCAGUGGAAUGGCUGCUCAUCUAUCAGCGUGUCCAUCACCAAGACUGCCAGUUGUAAAGCUUCUGAACCCCUUUAAGAAAGCUUAUUGAUGUCUUUAUUUAAUUUUUACAGUUGGCCGUAGAAUCUGAACAUUUUUGAUGCUUCUAACAUUUUUACCUGGCACAAAGCGGUGCAGUUACUUUAAACCAUUGUAAUGUAUUUAAGUGAUGCUCACUGUAAUGCCUACCUGGUUUUGUUAGCGUUUAAAAAUUUGAAUGUCUGAUGAGGUAACUGCAUUCCAAUUUGUCAUCGUGGCUGGUUUCAAUGAGCUGCUUGGAAAUAAGACGCAAAACUUACCACACGCCAGUUGUAGCAUUUUUGUUUUCAUCACUACAGUAUACACGUUUCAAAAGAUGAAAAGUGGGGAAAAAGCCUAAGUAACAUAAUCAUCCUAGGAUUGUCAUGUCCUUACAGCUCUUCAAUGACUAAUGCCUCAUACAUCUUGGGAGCACAUUGGUUGCAAUGCCUAUAGGUAUGUUUGAUAAGAGAAUAGCUUGCACCCAGAUUUGCCACACAGUUGAUGGCCGAUGGCUUUCUUUUGUCUUCAUGUUAUUACUAUGUAUUCAA